CAGUAGCCACGGUAAUACGGAGGGUGCAAGCGUUAAUCGGAAUUACUGGGCGUAAAGCGCACGCAGGCGGUCUGACAAGUCAGAUGUGAAAUCCCCGGGCUUAACCUGGGAACUGCAUUUGAAACUGUCAGGCUGGAGUCUUGUAGAGGGGGGUAGAAUUCCAGGUGUAGCGGUGAAAUGCGUAGAGAUCUGGAGGAAUACCGGUGGCGAAGGCGGCCCCCUGGACAAAGACUGACGCUCAGGUGCGAAAGCGUGGGGAGCAAACAGGAUUAGAUACCCGGGUAGUCCAUGUCUCUUAUAC
rnacentral:rRNA from 1 species